CGCGAAGAACCUUACCAGGCCUUGACAUGCAGAGAACUUUCCAGAGAUGGAUUGGUGGCCUUUCGGGAACUCUGACACAGGUGCUGCAUGGCUGUCGUCAGCUCGUGUCGUGAGAUGUUCGGGUUAAGUCCGUAACGAGCGCAACCCUUGUCCUUAGUUACCAGCACGUUAUGGUGGGCACUCUAAGGAGACUGCCGGUGACAAACCGGAGGAAGGUGGGGGAUGACGUCAAGUCAUCAUGGCCCUUACGGCCUGGGCUACACACGUGCUACAAUGGUCGGUACAAAGGGUUGCCAAGCCGCGAGGUGGAGCUAAUCCCAUAAAACCGAUCGUAGUCCGGAUCGCAGUCUGCAACUCGACUGCGUGAAGUCGGAAUCGCUAGUAAUCGUGAAUCAGAAUGUCACGGUGAAUACGUUCCCGGGCCUU
rnacentral:rRNA from 1 species